rnacentral:rRNA from 1 species
CACUAUCGUUAACUGAAUACAUAGGUUAACGAGGCGAACCGGGGGAACUGAAACAUCUAAGUACCCCGAGGAAAAGAAAUCAACCGAGAUUCCCCCAGUAGCGGCGAGCGAACGGGGAGCAGCCCAGAGUCUGAAUCAGCUUGUGUGUUAGUGGAACGGUCUGGAAAGUCCGACGGUACAGGGUGAUAGUCCCGUACACCAAAAUGCACAGGUUGUGAACUCGAAGAGUAGGGCGGGACACGUGGUAUCCUGUCUGAAUAUGGGGGGACCAUCCUCCAAGGCUAAAUACUCCUGACUGACCGAUAGUGAACCAGUACCGUGAGGGAAAGGCGAAAAGAACCCCGGCGAGGGGAGUGAAAAAGAACCUGAAACCGUGUACGUACAAGCAGUGGGAGCACCUUCGGGUGUGACUGCGUACCUUUUGUAUAAUGGGUCAGCGACUUAUAUUCUGUAGCAAGGUUAACCGUAUAGGGGAGCCGCAGGGAAACCGAGUCUUAACUGGGCGUUAAGUUGCAGGGUAUAGACCCGAAACCCGGUGAUCUAGCCAUGGGCAGGUUGAAGGUUGGGUAACACUAACUGGAGGACCGAACCGACUAAUGUUGAAAAAUUAGCGGAUGACUUGUGGCUGGGGGUGAAAGGCCAAUCAAACCGGGAGAUAGCUGGUUCUCCCCGAAAGCUAUUUAGGUAGCGCCUCGUGAACUCAUCUUCGGGGGUAGAGCACUGUUUCGGCUAGGGGGUCAUCCCGACUUACCAACCCGAUGCAAACUACGAAUACCGAAGAAUGUUAUCACGGGAGACACACGGCGGGUGCUAACGUCCGUCGUGAAGAGGGAAACAACCCAGACCGCCAGCUAAGGUCCCAAAGUCAUGGUUAAGUGGGAAACGAUGUGGGAAGGCACAGACAGCCAGGAUGUUGGCUUAGAAGCAGCCAUCAUUUAAAGAAAGCGUAAUAGCUCACUGGUCGAGUCGGCCUGCGCGGAAGAUGUAACGGGGCUAAACCAUGCACCGAAGCUGCGGCAGCGACACUAUGUGUUGUUGGGUAGGGGAGCGUUCUGUAAGCCUGCGAAGGUGACCUGUGAGGGUUGCUGGAGGUAUCAGAAGUGCGAAUGCUGACAUAAGUAACGAUAAAGCGGGUGAAAAGCCCGCUCGCCGGAAGACCAAGGGUUCCUGUCCAACGUUAAUCGGGGCAGGGUGAGUCGACCCCUAAGGCGAGGCCGAAAGGCGUAGUCGAUGGGAAACAGGUUAAUAUUCCUGUACUUGGUGUUACUGCGAAGGGGGGACGGAGAAGGCUAUGUUAGCCGGGCGACGGUUGUCCCGGUUUAAGCAUGUAGGCUGGUUAUCCAGGCAAAUCCGGAUAAUCAAGGCUGAGGUGUGAUGACGAGGCACUACGGUGCUGAAGUAACAAAUGCCCUGCUUCCAGGAAAAGCCUCUAAGCAUCAGGUAACAUCAAAUCGUACCCCAAACCGACACAGGUGGUCAGGUAGAGAAUACCAAGGCGCUUGAGAGAACUCGGGUGAAGGAACUAGGCAAAAUGGUGCCGUAACUUCGGGAGAAGGCACGCUGGUGUGUAGGUGAAGCCCCUGCGGGUGGAGCUGAGACCAGUCGAAGAUACCAGCUGGCUGCAACUGUUUAUUAAAAACACAGCACUGUGCAAACACGAAAGUGGACGUAUACGGUGUGACGCCUGCCCGGUGCCGGAAGGUUAAUUGAUGGGGUUAUCCGUAAGGAGAAGCUCUUGAUCGAAGCCCCGGUAAACGGCGGCCGUAACUAUAACGGUCCUAAGGUAGCGAAAUUCCUUGUCGGGUAAGUUCCGACCUGCACGAAUGGCGUAAUGAUGGCCAGGCUGUCUCCACCCGAGACUCAGUGAAAUUGAACUCGCUGUGAAGAUGCAGUGUACCCGCGGCAAGACGGAAAGACCCCGUGAACCUUUACUAUAGCUUGACACUGAACAUUGAGCCUUGAUGUGUAGGAUAGGUGGGAGGCUUUGAAGCGUGGACGCCAGUCUGCGUGGAGCCAACCUUGAAAUACCACCCUUUAAUGUUUGAUGUUCUAACGUUGGCCCCUGACCGGGGUUGCGGACAGUGUCUGGUGGGUAGUUUGACUGGGGCGGUCUCCUCCCAAAGCGUAACGGAGGAGCACGAAGGUUAGCUAAUCCUGGUCGGACAUCAGGAGGUUAGUGCAAUGGCAUAAGCUAGCUUGACUGCGAGCGUGACGGCGCGAGCAGGUGCGAAAGCAGGUCAUAGUGAUCCGGUGGUUCUGAAUGGAAGGGCCAUCGCUCAACGGAUAAAAGGUACUCCGGGGAUAACAGGCUGAUACCGCCCAAGAGUUCAUAUCGACGGCGGUGUUUGGCACCUCGAUGUCGGCUCAUCACAUCCUGGGGCUGAAGUAGGUCCCAAGGGUAUGGCUGUUCGCCAUUUAAAGUGGUACGCGAGCUGGGUUUAGAACGUCGUGAGACAGUUCGGUCCCUAUCUGCCGUGGGCGCUGGAGAAUUGAGGGGGGCUGCUCCUAGUACGAGAGGACCGGAGUGGACGCAUCACUGGUGUUCGGGUUGUCAUGCCAAUGGCACUGCCCGGUAGCUAAAUGCGGAAGAGAUAAGUGCUGAAAGCAUCUAAGCACGAAACUUGCCCCGAGAUGAGUUCUCCCUGAGACUUUAAGUCUCCUGAAGGAACGUUGAAGACGACGACGUUGAUAGGCCGGGUGUGUAAGCGCAGCGAUGCGUUGAGCUAACCGGUACUAAUGAACCGUGAGGCUUAACCUUACAACGCCGAAG